ACGAACGCUGGCGGCGUGCUUAACACAUGCAAGUCGAACGGAAAGGCCCUGCUUUUGUGGGGUGCUCGGGUGGCGAACGGGGGAGUAACACGUGAGUAACCUGCCCUUGACUUUGGGAUAACUUCAGGAAACUGGGGCUAAUACCGGAUAGGAGCUCCUGCUGCAUGGUGGGGGUUGGAAAGUUUCGGCGGUUGGGGAUGGACUCGCGGCUUAUCAGCUUGUUGGUGGGGUAGUGGCUUACCAAGGCUUUGACGGGUAGCCGGCCUGAGAGGGUGACCGGCCACAUUGGGACUGAGAUACGGCCCAGACUCCUACGGGAGGCAGCAGUGGGGAAUAUUGCACAAUGGGCGGAAGCCUGAUGCAGCAACGCCGCGUGCGGGAUGACGGCCUUCGGGUUGUAAACCGCUUUCGCCUGUGACGAAGCGUGAGUGACGGUAAUGGGUAAAGAAGCACCGGCUAACUACGUG
rnacentral:rRNA from 1 species